UACGUAGGGGGGCAAGCGUUUGUCCGGAUUUAUUGGGCGUAAAGAGCGUGUAGGCGGUUUGGUAGGUCCGCUGUGAAAAACUCGAGGCUCAACCUCGAGACGCCGGUGGAAACCAUCAGGCUAGAGUCCGGAAGAGGAGAGUGGAAUUCCUGGUGUAGCGGUGAAAUGCGCAGAUAUCAGGAAGAACACCCGUGGCGAAGGGCGGCUCUCUGGGGACGGGUACUGACGCUGAGACGCGAAAAAGCGUGGGGGAGCGAACAGGGAUUAGAACUCGGUGUCAGUCCCAAG
rnacentral:rRNA from 1 species